rnacentral:tRNA from 1 species
GGGUUGUGGCUCAGUGGUAGAGCGUUCGUCUAGCACAAGCAAGGCCCUGGGUUUGAUCCUCAGCCCCA